ensembl:lncRNA
UGCCUAGAGCCCGGCUCCGACGUGCUGAGUACAACUUGCCUAGACGGGGGAAGCAACUGCUGGAGUUCAGAGAGCCUUUCUAGCUUUGAAGAGCUGUGAGGGAAGGCUGCUGAUGUCUGGCUUCAGCCCUCAUGGAACAUAAAGACUGCAACCAUGAAGACUCUAGAUAAGGGUGUGAACAGAGCCCAGCACGUGGUUCUGGAGUUUGGGGAGCAGUAGGGCUUUACCUUGGCUCCCAGACUCAGCUGUGCCGGUCCCAUGCCACCCACCACCUUCCAGCCUCCAAUCUUCUCAGCUUCCACAAACACAGGAUGCUUCAGCACAGAAACGAGUCCCACCUCACCUUCACCUACUUCCUGCUUCACUGCGGCCUGGACACACACUGACAUGGAAGGUGCUUGGAUCCCUGAGUCUCUGGAUGGAGGAGAGCCCUGCCCCCUGGAAUGCAAACCAUAGUCUGAGGGCUAAGCCACAGAUGGCAAUGGUUAUUUAUUAUUUAGUACAAUAAAGCCAAUCUUUUAAAAUACA